CCUACGGGAGGCAGCAGUGGGGGAUAUUGCACAAUGGGCGAAAGCCUGAUGCAGCGACGCCGCGUGAGGGAAGACGGUCUUCGGAUUGUAAACCUCUGUCUUUGGGGAAGAAGAUGACGGUACCCAAAGAGGAAGCUCCGGCUAACUACGUGCCAGCAGCCGCGGUAAUAGGUAGGGAGCGAGCGUUGUCCGGAAUUACUGGGUGUAAAGGGAGCGUAGGCGGGGAGGCAGGUUGGAUGAUUAAACUAUCGGCUCAACCGGUAAUUGCAACCAAAACUGCAACUCUUGAGUGAAGGAGAGGAAGGCGGAGUUCGUAGUGUGGCGGUGAAAUGCGUAGAUAUGAGGAGGAACACCAGUGGCGAAGGCGGCCUGCUGGGCUUUAACUGACGCUGAGGCUCGAAAGCGUGGGGAGCGAACAGGAGUAGAUACCCGGGUAGUC
rnacentral:rRNA from 1 species